ACGAUCAAACUAUCACAGCUCUCUUUCUUCCCUAUGGCAACAAUCUCUGUGGAAAAAAGAAACAAACAUAGACAAACACCGCUGUCUAGAACGUCAGUGUUUACCGUUUUGAGAUGUUGUGGUAGUCAGCUGGAUACCAAACCUGCCGUUAGUUUUUUGGUGUUUUGGGACAUUAUUUUAACUUUUUAUAUAAACAAUCUGUGAAAUAGUUAUUCAUUAUGAACCAUGGCUUGCGUAGCUAUUGGUUGUGAGAGUAGAAUGGGUGUUAUAAUGGAGAACGAUCAAACAAUGUCUCACCAUGGAUUUCCUAAAUAUCCUAAUUUACGAAACAAGAAAUUAAGAAACAAUUAGAUUCAGACCAUGAAACGAGAUAAUUCUCUCUUCUGAAGGACGCCUUCUCCUUAUUUAAGCCUGUGCUAAUUACAUUUCGAUGUAUCUUGCUUUCUAUCGAGCAGGAUACCAAACAAAAAUAUUACAUAGAGAUGCAGUACCAACAAUAUUCACUCACAUAUCUCACAUAAGGUAAAGUUAUAACGACCAGAGCCGACACUAUACACUUCUAAAGAAAGUGAACAAGAGGAAAUAUUUUUUUUUUAUCACCAAAAGUCGGAAUUGUU